CAGGUGAAACCGCAGCUUGCAGUGAGUCAAACAGCAGUGCAGCACCUGACUCUGAGUCCACUGCCACAGCAGAAGCAGCUGGAGUCAAUGAGGAAGAUCCCAACUCAAAUCCUUUCAGCACUUUUCCUGAGAUUGAGCCGUCGAAAGCAGCCAACAACUCAGGAGACAACGACGUUGUUGUUGUUACAGAUUUCUGCAAGAGACCGGCCCGGGUUCGUGUAAAAAACAAAUAUGCUUUGGCGAGAUCUCACGAGACGUUCCGCCUGCUGAGGAGGAAGAACCUGAUCGUGGAGGCGGUGCGCAACUUCAAAAUCAUCGAGGGUCUCUUCCCGCUGCAGAAGAUCAUUACUGACGACGACAAGAAGGAUGGAAUCAACACGAGGUGCUGCAAGAAGACUAUCGUACGCACCGUGGACAGCCUGUCCAGAGAAGGCUUACUAAAGGUUUACAAGACCACCAUCAUACAGGACGGGGUCACCAA